UACGGAGGGUGCGAGCGUUGUCCGGAAUCACUGGGCGUAAAGGGCGCGUAGGCGGCCUGAUAAGUCGGGGGUGAAAUCCUGCGGCUUAACCGCAGGGCUGCCUUCUAAACUGUCGGGCUAGAGCACGGUAGAGGCAGAUGGAAUUCCCGGUGUAGCGGUGGAAUGCGUAGAGAUCGGGAAGAACAUCAGUGGCGAAGGCGGUCUGCUGGGCCGUUGCUGACGCUGAGGCGCGACAGCGUGGGGAGCAAACAGG
rnacentral:rRNA from 1 species